GGUCGGCCUGCCAGAGGCCGCGGCCUGGCUCAGCCCGAUUAAGGGGUAGGGAGGGGGUGCGGUAGGGAACCUGCUCCCUGGAACCGUCGCCGCCUCCUCUGGGGGCGCCACCGCCGCCCCUUGAUGCUGCCGCUGCCGCCUGUUGCCGAGUGCGCCGCUUCGCCCUUCCGCUUGCGCAAGUGAGCGCCGCCGCGGGCCGCGCCCAGCGCCCUCGUGCGCCACGCACGAAUGCCGCCGCCUUUUGGUGCCGCCGCCGGCGUCGUGUGUGCCCCUGUCUGCGUCUCUACGGCGUGCCGAGCGUCACCGGUUCUCUGGUGGUGCCGGCCACCGAUGGUGAGGGUGCCCUGCGGGAAUCGCCGGGAAUCGCCGAGGUUGUCUGAUGGAGGGACUCGCAUGUCCUCCCUGUCGGCUGUAUUGGCACGGAUGCGCCGUCUUCGUUCAAGAUCGACGAUUGUGAUGGAGUCCAGUUAUCUCCGUGGCUUGUUGGUCAGAGCAUGUCGCCAGCGAGCAGCCGGCCGUUCUUCCUGUCAUGGUGAGUUGGUGACACAGGCAUAUCGAUGUCGGAGUGGACGUUCAUGUUGUUGCCGCCGGCAAGUGGCCGCCGUUGGUGACGAAGACAUCGAAGGAAAUCUGGUCGUCUUGGACGCAGCGCAUGUUGGUAACCGCUCGUCGCCGGCGUCAUUGCUUGCUUCUUCUUUUCGUUUCUCAAUCUCAGCGGAGAGCAGUUCGUGCUGAUAACGUGUUAGAAGUAAAAGUGAUUGGAAUGAUUGAUUGUCUUUA